rnacentral:rRNA from 1 species
GACGAACGCUGGCGGCGUGCUUAACACAUGCAAGUCGAACGAAGAGGAGUACGGGUGAGUAAUACGUGAGUAACCUGACCUACUUUUUGGGAUAAGCUUAGGCAACGGGAUCUAAUCUCGUAUCUAGGGGGAUGGGCUGGCGGCUUAUCAGCUUGUUGGUGGGGUGAUGGGCUAGCAAGGCGGUGACGGGUAGCCGGCCUGAUAGGGUGAACGGGCACAUAGAGACGGCGAUACGGCCCAGAGGCGUACGUGGUGCAGAAGUGGGGGAUAUUGCACAAUGGGCGAAAGCCUGAUGCAGCGACGCUGCGUGGGGUAUGAGGGCUUUCGGGUUGUAAACCUCUUUCGCUAUCGAACGGGUAGGUGGAGAAGAAGCGCCGGCUAACUACGUGCCAGCAGCCGCGGUAAUAC